GGGCUCGUAGCUCAGCCAGGCAGAGCAGCGGCCUUUUAAGCCGCUGGUCGCGGGUUCAAAUCCCGUCGAGCCCG
rnacentral:tRNA from 1 species